UACGACGGGGGCUAGCGUUGCUCGGAAUUACUGGGCGUAAAGCGCACGUAGGCGGUCUUUUAAGUCGGGGGUGAAAUCCUGGAGCUCAACUCCAGAACUGCCUUCGAUACUGGAAGACUUGAGUCCGGGAGAGGUGAGUGGAACUGCGAGUGUAGAGGUGAAAUUCGUAGAUAUUCGCAAGAACACCAGUGGCGAAGGCGGCUCACUGGCCCGAUACUGACGCUGAUGCACGAAAGCGUGGGGAGCAAACAGG
rnacentral:rRNA from 1 species